UACGGGGGGGGCAAGCGUUGUUCGGAAUUACUGGGCGUAAAGGGCUCGUAGGCGGCCAACUAAGUCAGACGUGAAAUCCCUCGGCUUAACCGGGGAACUGCGUCUGAUACUGGAUGGCUUGAGGUUGGGAGAGGGAUGCGGAAUUCCAGGUGUAGCGGUGAAAUGCGUAGAUAUCUGGAGGGACACCGGUGGCGAAGGCGGCAUCCUGGACCAAUUCUGACGCUGAGUGAGCGAAAGCCAGGGGAGCAAACGGG
rnacentral:rRNA from 1 species